rnacentral:rRNA from 1 species
UACGAGGGGUGCAAGCGUUGCUCGGAAUUAUUGGGCGUAAAGGGUAGGUAGGUGGUCUCAUUUGUCUUAUGUGAAAGCCUUGGGCUUAACUCAAGAAGUGCGUAAGAAACGGUGAGACUGGAGUCCUGGAGAGGUGAGUGGAAUUCCCGGUGUAGCGGUGAAAUGCGUAGAGAUCGGGAGGAACACCAGAGGCGAAAGCGGCUCACUGGACAGGUACUGACACUCAACUACGAAAGUGUGGGGAGCAAACAGG